GUGCUCGACCAGGUCAAGAUCAUGCCGCUCAAGCUCUAGUCGUCCAUCGGAGUAGACCAGAAGCUCAGAUCAAUCCUGUCGCGUUGAUUCGGCAUCGUCCUCUCGUCUACUAUGUAGUAGUAGUGGGUAUGUAAUUUGUGACAUUGAUGGACCUCUCUCUAAUCGUGUGCCAGCGUGGUGGAAUGAAUUGCCUGUGCUGUGCGUGAACCUGCGAGCUCCGUCAAUUUGUUUGGGAUUUGCGUAGGCUUUCUACUAGUAUUUGAGAUGAUUUUGUAAUGACGACGCGUCCACUGUUCACUGCGCACGUAACCGACGAAUCAUGCAGUUUGGUCUCUCC
rnacentral:lncRNA from 1 species